rnacentral:rRNA from 1 species
GAUGAACGCUGGCGGCGUGCCUAAUACAUGCAAGUCGAGCGAACAGACGAGGAGCUUGCUCCUCUGACGUUAGCGGCGGACGUGUGAGUAACACGUGGAUAACCUACCUAUAAGACUGGGAUAACUUCGGGAAACCGGAGCUAAUACCGGAUAAUAUAUUGAACCGCAUGGUUCAAUAGUGAAAGACGGUUUUGCUGUCACUUAUAGAUGGAUCCGCGCCGCAUUAGCUAGUUGGUAAGGUAACGGCUUACCAAGGCAACGAUGCGUAGCCGACCUGAGAGGGUGAUCGGCCACACUGGAACUGAGACACGGUACAGACUCCGACGGGAGGCAGCAGUAGGGAAUCUUGCGCAAUGGGCGAAAGCCUGACGGAGCAACGCCGCGUGAGUGAUGAAGGGCUUCGGAUCGUAAAACGCUGUUAUUAGGGAAGAACAAAUGUGUAAGUAACUAUGCACGUCUUGACGGUACCGAAUCAGAAAGCCACGGCUAACUACGU